AGCGGUGUAGCUCAACGUUAGAGCAUACGCGAGAUUGCGCGUCAGACGAAGGUUCAACUCCUUUCACUGCUA
rnacentral:tRNA from 1 species